CCACUGGCUGCCUUCCCCAAGGACCCUUGUGAAAUAAGGCCAGAAAUAGCUUUCUGGGCUCAAGUUAGGGACCACGAGUGUGUAAAGGGCUCUUCCCACUGCUUCUUCUAUUUUUUUUUUUUUUUGAGACAGAGUCUUACUCUGGGCUGGAGUGCAGUGGCGCAACCUCGGCUCACUGCAACCUCCGCCUCCCAGGUUCAAGCAAUUCUCCUGCCUCAGCCUUCUUCUACUUUUAUAUUUCGCUCAGUUACCUAUAUCUGUUUCAGCUCUAGGCUCAGAGGCAGAAGGGACUUGCUUUGUCUCAGACUUUGGACUUGGACUUUUGAGUUAAUGCUGGAAUGAGUUAAGACUUUGGGGGACUGUUGGGAAGCCAUUAUGAGUUUUGAAAUGUGAAAAGGACGUGAGACUUGGAAGAAGCCAGGAGUGGAAUGAUAUGGUUUGCCCCUUUGUGCCCCCGGCAAAUCUCAUCUUGAAUUGUAAUCCUCAUGUGUUGAGGGAGGCACCUGGUGGGAGGUGACUGAACUAUGGGUACAGUUUCCCCAUGCUGUUCUUGUGAUAGUGAUGAGUUCUCACAAAAUCUGAUGGUUUACAAGUGUUUGGCAAUUCCUCCCACUGUCAUGUAAGAUGUGCCUUGCUUCCCCUCAUCUUCCACCAUGAUUGUAAGUUUCCUGAGGCCUCCCUAACCAUAUGAAACUUUUGAGUCAAUUAAACCUCUUUUGUUUAUAAGUUGCCCAGUCUCAGGUAGUUUAUUUCUUUUCCUUUUCUUUCUUUCUUUUUGAGAUAGAGUCUCACUCUGUUGCCCAGGCUGGAGUGCAAUGGCAUGAUCUUGGCUCACUGCAACCUCCACCUCCCAGGUUCAAGCAAUUCUUCUGCCUCAGCCUCCCAAGUAGCUGGGAUAACAGGCACCCACCACCAUGCCCAGCUAAUUUUUGUAUUUUUAGUAUAGAGAUAGGGUUUCACCAUGUUGGCCAGGAUGGUCUCCAACUCCUGACCUCAGGUGACCUGCCCUCCUCAGCCUCCCAAAGUGGGUAGUUUCUUUAUAGCAGUGUGAAAAUGGACACAGAGAAAAUUAGAUGACUCUAAAACACCGUAUUUUGACCAUCCAUUCUUAAUAGGAUAUUUAUGUAGACCAAAAAAGUGAUAAAAUAUUAAACUACAUUCAGUAAUUAAACUACAUUCAGUAAUUAAUCUUAGUAAUUAUGUAAAAGCCAUUAGGAAACAAAAUUUUUAGUACAAGUUGAGCAUCUGUAAUCUGGAAAUUCAAAACAUGAAAUGCUCCAAAAUCUGGAACUUUUUUUUCUUUGAGAUGGAGUUUUACUCUUGUCGUCCAGGCUGGAGUGUA
rnacentral:lncRNA from 13 species